GAUGAACGCUGGCGGCGUGCCUAAUACAUGCAAGUCGAGCGAACAGACGAGGAGCUUGCUCCUCUGACGUUAGCGGCGGACGGGUGAGUAACACGUGGAUAACCUACCUAUAAGACUGGGAUAACUUCGGGAAACCGGAGCUAAUACCGGAUAAUAUAUUGAACCGCAUGGUUCAAUAGUGAAAGACGGUUUUGCUGUCACUUAUAGAUGGAUCCGCGCCGCAUUAGCUAGUUGGUAAGGUAACGGCUUACCAAGGCAACGAUGCGUAGCCGACCUGAGAGGGUGAUCGGCCACACUGGAACUGAGACACGGUCCAGACUCCUACGGGAGGCAGCAGUAGGGAAUCUUCCGCAAUGGGCGAAAGCCUGACGGAGCAACGCCGCGUGAGUGAUGAAGGUCUUCGGAUCGUAAAACUCUGUUAUUAGGGAAGAAAAAAUGUGUAAGUAAAUAUGCACGUAUUGACGGUACCUAAUCAGAAAGCCACGGCUAACUACGUG
rnacentral:rRNA from 1 species